GCGGUAAAACCAGCUCUUCAAGUGGUCGGGAUAAUUAUUGGGCUUAAAGUGUCCGUAGCCGGUUUAGUAAGUUCCUGGUAAAAUCAGGUAGCUUAACUAUCUGUAUGCUAGGAAUACUGCUAUACUAGAGGGCGGGAGAGGUCUGAGGUACUACAGGGGUAGGGGUGAAAUCUUAUAAUCCUUG
rnacentral:rRNA from 1 species